GACGGAGGAUGCAAGCGUUAUCCGGAAUGAUUGGGCGUAAAGCGUCCGCAGGUGGCAGUUCAAGUCUGCUGUCAAAGACCGGGGCUUAACUUCGGAAAGGCAGUGGAAACUGAACAGCUAGAGUAUGGUAGGGGCAGAGGGAAUUCCUGGUGUAGCGGUGAAAUGCGUAGAGAUCAGGAAGAACACCGGUGGCGAAGGCGGCUCUCUGGGCCUUACCUGACGCUGAGGAGCGAAAGCGUGGGUAGCGAACAGG
rnacentral:rRNA from 1 species